UGGGGAAUUUUGGACAAUGGGCGAAAGCCUGAUCCAGCAAUGCCGUGUGUGUGAAGAAGGCCUUCGGGUUGUAAAGCACUUUUGUCCGGAAAGAAAUCCUUGGCUCUAAUACAGUCGGGGGAUGACGGUACCGGAAGAAUAAGCACCGGCUAACUACGUGCCAGCAGCCGCGGUAAUACGUAGGGUGCAAGCGUUAAUCGGAAUUACUGGGCGUAAAGCGUGCGCAGGCGGUUUGCUAAGACCGAUGUGAAAUCCCCGGGCUCAACCUGGGAACUGCAUUGGUGACUGGCAGGCUAGAGUAUGGCAGAGGGGGGUAGAAUUCCACGUGUAGCAGUGAAAUGCGUAGAGAUGUGGAGGAAUACCGAUGGCGAAGGCAGCCCCCUGGGCCAAUACUGACGCUCAUGCACGAAAGCGUGGGGAGCAAACAGGAUUAGAUACCCUGGUAGUCCACGCCCUAAACGAUGUCAACUAGUUGUUGGGGAUUCAUUUCCUUAGUAACGUAGCUAACGCGUGAAGUUGACCGCCUGGGGAGUACGGUCGCAAGAUUAAAACUCAAAUGAAUUGACGGGGUCAUAGCUGUUUCCU
rnacentral:rRNA from 1 species